GAAAUUUUUCAACGGCCGCGGUAUCCUAACCGUGCUAAGGUAGCAUAAUCAAUUGUCCUCUAAUUAAGGACUUGUAUGAAUGGUUUGACGUAGAUUAACCUGUCUCUAUACUACUGACUAUAAAUUAAUUUAAAAGUGAAAAAGCUUUUAUAACCUAAAAAGACAAAAAGACCCUAUAGAGCUUUAUUUCUAAUAAAAAAAUAUAAAUUUUUACUUUAAAAGAAAUUUGGUUGGGGCAACCAGAGUUAUUAAUAACUCUUAUUAUUAAAUAACAAAUCCGUAAUAUUAUAUCACCUCUUAGCAUUAAAAAACAAGUUACCUUAGGGAUAACAGCGUUCUCCUCUUUUAGAGCUCAAAUCGAAAAGAGGGCUUAC
rnacentral:rRNA from 1 species